GCGCCCUCAAGUGACGUCAUUCAAGAACAAUCACGUGAUAUUUUGGAAGGGGAGAGGAGGGGAAGCAGGAGAGAAAUAUAUAUGUGGGAAAAAAUUGUAGAGGGGAAGAGGAGGCAGUGAGAGAGAAGUGAGGGGGUGACACCUCCUUCUACCCUCCCACCAGCACACACCACAGGGCCCACAGGCAUGAGAACCGAAAUGGAGGGUCUGCACCCUCACACGGAAUGUUGCGUUCCGUUCCGGACUGUGGGAGGCAUUGCCCACGACAAGGCCGUGAUUAGAAGAAACUCCCGCUGGUACAGGCUGUUCCGAAAAUAGGCAACAGACCGGGCGGAUGCAAGUUCGGGACUUCCCCUUCACCCACCCAGAAAUCACAAAACUUCUCCACGAUUAAGAACAAUUUCUCAACGCUGUUUAGAGAAAUAAUCGCAGCUUAAUCUGAGAAUUAUAGAAAACCGAUUAACACAAAAUGCAAUUACGACUAUUAAAGCAGUUGGAACAUACAAUUAACACUGGUCUUUGAGGGUUAACUUGGGUCUGCAUCAUGUCGGAAGCCUGUAAUCCUCACAUAUACAGCCGAAGAGGGGGAGAAAGGUGAAGACAAGUGGAAAGGAUGCGCCUGGUUUCGAACCACUAGUAGACUACAAAAUCCCCUUUAAAAAUCUCCUGCUUAUUUAAUUUUCGUACUUCCUUCUUCGUCUUACAAAUAUAAGCGGUACUUCGUGUCUCAUAGAUAUUCCUUUGUCUUCUUUCUGUCUCUGAUUCUUUCUGCAAGGUUUAGCAAACAAUUUUUGUGAAAAUAAUGCACUUAAACAGGACAGAACAGGAUGGUGCCGGCAUAUACGUGCGUACAUAAAGGACUCCUUCAAUUCAGAUUGUAGAACAGUUUCUUUGUAAUCGCAAUUCAGAUAUAAUUUAAGAUUCGGAAGAAGGAAAUGACUGUUUCGUUGCCAAAUUAACCGUACGCUAAGAUACACGUACAUACAGCCUGUAAAAGGAGGGUAAAAAUUCCAGAUGGUGGUUUCUUUUCAAUGCAAUAUCCUGAAACAUAAUUUUCAUACUAUAUUUUAAACGCAUUAGUGUACAAUGAGAUGUCAUAUUAUUCAAACCAUUAGACCCUACACAGGAAGGAACUACACAAAGUUCAUAACCUCAACCUGUCAGGUCAACUGUGCAAUGUUAUAUAGGCCUAUAUUUGUAAUGUAAUUAUUAUUCUCCUCAAAGUGGUAAUAAUUUGGUCCGGAUGAUAUAUGCCCCCACCCAGGCAUUAUCCCCACCACUCUUCAAAAUGUGGUUAUGUACAAAAAAUAUAAAAAUAUAUCUCGUGACCACAUAAAAAAUUCCUUUACUUUACCUCUUAUUCCACCCCAAACCGACCUUUUUCAGGUAUAAGUGAAUUUCUGUUACUCAAAUGUCCAGAAGGGGGGAAAAAUCAUAGAUACUAGUACAUUUCGAAUUAGAAGCGGUGUAUUACACCUACCAGUCCUCUGGCCCUAAUUAGGAUAAAUACUUAGUUGUCAUGGAAAUGUUUCUGUUCAUGCAAUGUCUUUAUAGGUCCCUUACUUCGCAACUCCGUUGCCAAACUGCGUUUAUCUCUGUUCAGACCCUCGGUUCAUAUACAGGUACAGUUGCGUCUGGUGCGUAUUUUAGCACAAAGCCAUGGCCAUUUUAUCUUCAGGGAAGAACCACUCUCUACUGGUCUCAGAGUCAAUACAAUGCCGUGUGAACUGUGACACCAUGUAGCAAAACACAUUAGAAGUAUCCUGAUGAAGGCAGCAUCCACUCGUUUUGCUAUGUAACAGUGCCACUUGAUUUUAUUCCAAGCGCCAGUCAAUUUGUUUCUGAGUUUGCACCAUAAGCGUUUAACGGCAGCACUCGACUGAGGACAAAGAGGAAAACAGGUUAAGAAGCUAAUGACAGACGCACUGCAGGCAUCCUGGAAAGAUACGACGUCGUGGUUAUUUCCGUACUGAGGAUGUUUCAAAGACACGACUUUUACUACAACCUCACAUCUCACAGCAAACGUACAUCGUAUUUCUUUGUGUGGCUUGUUGGAUGGAGAUGCGUAGAUGGACAAGUGGGUGACUGACUGGACAUGUAGCUAGUUCCUUACGCACGAAGUUGUGCGUGUGGUCGUAAAGGGCGAACGGUGUUCGGAAAAUGUAUGGACCUGCUCCAGAACGGAGGACAAACUUCGACUCCUGUUAUCCCCUACAACACGUAUCCACUACUCAUCAGUUACAGUUAACAGAAUUCUUUAAUACUUCCAACAGAAAUAUUCUUAACUAAGCUGAUUCUGAUGCGGUCCCCAUCAUGAAAUAACUUAGAGGCAUUUCAGAAAUAUUGCUUUGAAAAAUUAUCUUCAUGCUGAAUUCCAGGAAAUUUAUUAUCUAUAAUUUAAAUAAAAGAAUAAAAACACA